rnacentral:lncRNA from 1 species
UCAGAUGUGUGAGGUUAGGGUGAGGGCUCAAUGAGCAAGAUGGCCAGCAUGAAAACCUCAUAUACUUGGUUUUUUUUCCCCCAUACACUUGUAACCCCAGAAUUGGGUAGUAGAGAUAAGUGGAUGCAGAAAGCUCACUGGCUACCCACAUUAGCCAAAAUGGCAAGCUUCCAGGUCACUAGCAGAUUCAAGGCUAUAAGGAAGUGUGACCAGAAAACACCCAAUGUCCUGCUCCGGCCUCUGCAUGUGUGGACACACGUGUCCAUACAUAAAUGCUUCAACUGGAGGGGAGCAGCAGGCUUGCAAGUGACCAGUUUAUUGAUAGGGGGUUGUGCUGAGCAGAAAUGGCAGUGGGCAUAGAGCUGUGAGUG